AUUGAACGCUGGCGGCAUGCCUUACACAUGCGAGUCGAACGGUAACAGGUUAAGCUGCCGAGUGGCGAACGGGUGAGUAAUGUAUCGGAACGUGCCCAGUCGUGGGGGAUAACUGCUCGAAAGAGCAGCUAAUACCGCAUACGACCUGAGGGUGAAAGCGGGGGAUCGCAAGACCUCGCGCGAUUGGAGCGGCCGAUAUCAGAUUAGGUAGUUGGUGAGGUAAAGGCUCACCAAGCCGACGAUCUGUAGCUGGUCUGAGAGGACGACCAGCCACACUGGGACUGAGACACGGCCCAGACUCCUACGGGAGGCAGCAGUGGGGAAUUUUGGACAAUGGGCGCAAGCCUGAUCCAGCCAUGCCGCGUGCGGGAAGAAGGCCUUCGGGUUGUAAACCGCUUUUGUCAGGGAAGAAAAGGUUCUGGCUAAUACCUGGGACUCAUGACGGUACCUGAAGAAUAAGCACCGGCUAACUACG
rnacentral:rRNA from 1 species